UUUUUUUUCUCUUUUGGUUGGGGGCACACUCGUGGCAUGCUCCAGUGGCUGGUGCAGGGCUGGAACGGGAGCCACAGCAGUGGCCGUGCUGAAUCCUUAACCUGCUGUGGCACCAGGGAACUCCACCGUCUGAAAAUUUCUGAUUAGAAAGUUGCUCCAUUGUGAAUUGAUUCAAGGCUCCGCAAGCUUGCUUCGCAGGUUAAAAACAGAUUUGUUGCAGGGAUGUCAGAAUUGUUUUAGUCUGUGCUUCCUGGAGCACCGUGUGAGCAGCUGCGCUCCAAAGGAAGGGAUAGUAGCAAGAGGCGUGUGUGUCUGAGUGUGCCCCUUUUCAUCAGGAGAGCAGGAGCUUUCUGGGGAGCCCUGCCCUGAAGACUUCUGUGAACUAAGUGCUCUUUAGCCAGAGUUCGGACACACGGCCCCACUCCUGAGUGGAGCACAGUGUGGGGAGGUAGACUUCCUCCUAGUGCAGAUGGAUGCCUCAGACAAAAUGGGGGUCCUCCUAGGAAGAAGAGGGACUGGGAGCUGGGAAGGGCCCUGGGAGGAUUAGCUACAGUCCUCAUCUUUUUUUCCCCCAUCUAGAAUUUCCUCAGGGUUUUUUUUUUUUUUUUAGGUCAUACUGUGGCAUGUGGAAGUUCUGAGGCUGGGAGUGGAAUCAGCUGCAGCACCUGAGGCCUUUGCCACCCCCAUAGCGAUACUGGAUCCUAGCCACAUCUGCCUCCUAGGCCAAGGCUUGUGGCAAGGCCAGAUCCUUAACUCACUGAGCAAUGUCAGGGAUCAAACAGGCACCCUCACAGAGACAAGGUCAAGCUCUCUUUCCUUUUCCUUUUUUUCGUUUUAGGUCUUCUGAGGGUCACACCUGUGGCAUGUGGAAGUUCCCAGGUUAGGGGUGGAAUGGGAGCUGUAGCUGCCAGCCUGUGCCACAGCCAACGCCAAGCCAGAUCUGAGUUGUGUCUGUGACCCACACUGCGGCUCACGGCAAGGCCGCAUCCUUCACCUACUGAGAGAGGUCAGGGAUUGAACCCCUGUCCUCAUGUGUCCUAGUCGGGUUUGUUACCACUGAGCCACAACAGGGACUCCCCGAUGUCGAGUUCUUAACACGCUGAGCCAAAACGGGAACUUUCCGCUCAGGUAUUCUUAAGACAGCAGAGCGCGAGAGAGAGGUGGCAGGUGUGAGGGAGAGAGGGGGAGAUAAUUUAUACAGAACAUGAAGGUUCAGUUUGAUGAGUGUUGACAGUUGAAUGUGUUUGUGUAUCACUGCCCAAAACAGGAUAUAAAAUAUUUCUAAAACCCAGGAAGUUCCCUUUUAGCUCUAGUUUGUCUCCUUACCCUUACUUAGCAAAUAUUUUCUGAUUCUGGCUACCCUGAAUAGAUUUGCCCAUUCUUGAGUAUAAGAUAAAUGGAAUCAUGCAGCAUGCAUUCUUUUUGUGUCUCUUUCACUCAACAUGUUCUUGGAGAUUCAUCCAUGUCUCACACGUUGUCAAAGAUAAAACACGCAUUGUCACAGGUGAACAAAGCUGGAUACGCGUGUUAAAGUGGUAAGGUUAGAUUUUAAUCAGUAAGAACGAUUGCAAUGCAGAAAAGAAUCCAGUAUGAACUCAACCCAACUCCAGUUUGUAGAGAGAGUGUUUUAAAGGGAGAGUGAGGGAGGAAGGAGGGGGAAGCAGGGAUUCAUUGGAGUCAGAGAAAAAGCACAGAACGUGGGGAAGAGGGGGUUGGUCCCCGUGAAAGCAUCUGGCUUUGCUAACUGGGGGACAGGGUGUUACCUGGAGCAAAGAGUAAGUUCUUUUGGCAGCCUGGAGUUUUCUCAGGCAAGCAAGCAAGCCCUCUAAGGGGAACGGGAGUCAUCCUGGCGAUGUGGCCUUGAGCUGUUCGCAGCUGAGUUCAAGUUUGCUCAGGCCUUUAUUAUGUUCUUUUUUUUUUUUUUUGUCUUUUUGUCUCUUUUUCUUUUUGCCUUUUCUGGGGCCAAUCCCAUGGCAUAUCCGAGAUUCCCAGGCUAGGGUUCUAAUUGGAACUGUAGCCACCGCCCUACGCCAGAGCCACAGCAAUGCAGGAUCCAAGCUACAUCUGCAACCUACACCACAGCUCAUAGUAAUGCUAGAUCCUUAACCCACUGAGCAAGGCCAGGAAUUGAACCCGCAUCCUCAUGGUUCCUAGUUGGAUUCCUUAACCACUGUACCAUGAUCAGAAUUCCAGGCCUUUAUAUUCUAAGCCCAGGCAGAGGUCUAGUGGAGGAGCAGGUCAGAGGAGGCAGGCGGCAGAUUGGUCAAGGAGAGAAUUGUGGUCAGUGUCAAAUCAUGUGCUCCUUUUUGUGUUGUGGUGUGAACAUGACAUGAUUUGUUCUGUUUACCUGGUGGUGCCGAUUUGAGUUGGAUCUAGUGUUUGGCCAUUGUGAACAGGCUGCAGGGAACAUUGUUGUAGCAGUCUGAAAUGUCUCUUGGAUAGAUAUCUAGGAGUGGAAUUGCUUAGCCAUAGGGUGGGUAUGUAUUUAACUGCCAGACGAAUUGCCAGACGAAUUUCCAAAGUGGUGUAUCAGUUUGCAGUUCUCACUGGCAAUGUAUUCAAACUGCAGUGGCUCCAUAUCCUUGUUAAACAUUCAUUGUUGUCAGUGGAUGUGAACUAGUGUCUCAUUUUGAUCUUAAAUGACAUUUCCCUGGUGACAAAUGCGUACUUCUCAGGUGCUUAUUGUGAAUGGACUAUUGGAGUCCUUUGUCCAUUGUUGCUGCUGGUGAUCACAUUGGGUUCACCUUAUUAGAGGUCAUGAUACAUUCUGGCUAGGACUCCUUUGUCAGACACGUGUUGUGAAUAGAUGUGCAUGCACAGGAAAAUGAGAAUUUGAAAUAUCAUUUACAAUAUAGCAUUACAAAAGACUAGCUGUUUAAGUCCCAGUCAAAACUCUAGCUGUCUUUUCUUUUUCUGUAAGAAAAUAGCAAAUUGAAUCUAAAUGUGUGUGGAAACCCAAAGAAUCUGGACUAGCCAAAUCAAAUAUCUUCAAAAGAAGAGGGAAUCUGGGGAACUUACACUGCUUAUAGUAAUUGUAAAGGUCCGGUUAAGCUACCGGGAUUUUAGGAUAUGAAUGAGUCCCAGCUCCUUGUUUGAAAAGCGCUGUUUCAGACCAGGGAGCAGGUGUUCUCUGUUCUCCUUGGACAGCCUGGGCUUGUAGUGAAUUGUGUCCCUUAGUGAGUCCUUUGUGUGUGGCUGUGUGGAGUUGCUGCCUUGAGUAGCUGCAUAUGCAUGCUUUCUCCUGGGUGUGUAUGGAUGUGCAAACAUGGAUGGGAGAGGCUGGAGUGGGGAGGGGUUGAUGUGUUUGUACCAAAUUGAGCACCUCUUGCAGUCAAGGCAGCAGGAAGCCUUGUUGCUGGAUGUGAAGAAAAGGAAGGAAAGGAAGGAUGUGAUAUGUGUAUCGAGGAGCUGACAACCUAAUGGGUGACAUCCAGCAUAUGCCCCCCUCCUGCCCCACAUCUUAAGUUUGGACUUACUUAUCAAGCAAUGUGGAAGUCGUUGUGUUAAUAGGAUAUCACUUAGUUUGCUUUAAGCUGCAAGUAGCAGAAGCCCAACUCCAUUUGGCUUAAGUUGUAAAGAGCUGUAUCAUCUCACUGUUACCUCGCUCAUAUUCCUAGGGACAUAGAGAAGGCUCCAGGCCAUGGAACAUGAUGAAGCCUUAGGGAUCCAGGUUCCUUCUAUGACUUGUCAUUUGUCCUCAGGCUGGUUCCACUCAUUGUGGCAGGAGACUUUCAGGGGCCAGCAGGGCCUCAGCUCCCCAGGUUGGAACAGUCUCGCUUUAAAUCCUGGUAGGGUAGAUGAGGAUAGAGUUUGGGCUUCCUUAGCAUUUCCCAAGUUGUAGCUGCAUUGCGUACAUGUUCCUGGUUUCCCUCCCUUGACCUGCUUAAGGGACAGGAAAUGACAGGUGUGUAUGAAUCCGGAGAAAUUCCUUGGGAGUUAUUAGUGAUGUUGGCCCACUCUUUUGGGAUCUCCCUUCCCCUGGAAACCGCACUCUUGGUGGAUGAAAUGGCUCUGAACAGCUCUGGCCAGUGCGUUUGCUGAGUGAAUACAUGGUUGCAGGUCUUCUGAAUGGUGUAGGACGUGGGGUUACUUGAUGUUCAGGGUCCUGGGAAUGGAAUGUGUGAUCUGAGGGAAGAAACGAGCAUGGUGGGCACUGUGUGAGGGGCAGCGUCUGGGAGUAGAAAGGUGGAUGGAGAAGCCUGUUUAUGCUGGUGCUGGGGCCCUAGGUGGGACUUGGCCUUUGAGGUCAAUACAUUAUUUCUUGUGGCUCCUUUACUUGGGUCCUGGGAACUUGGCCAUGGAACCUGGCCUGACCUACUCUCCUCACCUGCUUCUUUUUCCAUUGUUUCCAGAUUUGCGGUGAGCAUUGGCUACUGGCAGGACCCUUGCAUCCCGCAUUUGGUGAGACUGUCUAAAGCGAGGAAGGCCCCCGAAAUUAACAGAGGCAAGUGACCCUCUCCCUCCCCAGCAUCUGCUCAUCAACUGAGAGGUCUGAGGUUUUAGGGAUUAGGGAUUCCUUCUUGGUUUUUAUUUUGUUGUUGUUGUUAAAUUGACUGCACCCUCAGCAUGUGGAAGGUCCUAGGCUAGGCAUCAGACCAUUACCACAGCAGUGACCUGAGCCACAGCAGUGAUAAUGCCAGAUCCUUAGUCUGCAGAACCACCAGGGAUCUCCUAGGGAUUCAUUCUGGAAAAGAGAGUGCUUUUGUGCACACUUUCCAACUUCCUCACCAGCACAGUGUCUUAGGAAAUUGUAUUUUUUGGCCAUACCCGGGACCCUCUGUCUUAUGAAAGGUAAUCUUUGUUCACCUGAUACAUGAUAAAUGUACACUCUUUUUAUUUUUUAUUCCUCUUGGGGUGAGGUUGAAAAUGAUUUUUAUAUGCUUAGAAGCCAUUGAUCUGUCUUUUACUCUGAACUGUCCACAUAAGGGAUUAUUGUUGUUGUUGCCACCUUGUUAGAAUGUUCAUAACACUCUCAGGUUCUGCAAGUAACAUCGUUCUUUUUCCUUUUCUAGGGCCACACCUGGCAUAUGGGCGUUCCUGGCUAGGGGUCAAAUCAGAGCUGCAGCUGCCAGUCUACACCACAGCCGCAGCAAUGCCAGAUCCGAGCCUUGUCUGCAGUGUACCCCACAGCUCUCAGCAGUGCCAGAUCCUUAGCCCACUGAGUGAGGCCAGGAAUCCAAUCUGCAUCCUCAUGGAUCCUAGUCAGGUUCUUAACCUGCUGAGCCACAACAGGAAGUCCUCGGCAAGUAAUUUCCAUCAGUGAAAUGGAAGGAUUUGAGACAGGAGUGUGACUUCAUUUCAGCCGGAUGGAGAAACUGUCCCAGGAGUGUAGUUCCUGGGUGUGCAGGGCAGCUUGGCCCUCAUGAUGGGUCCUGUAGGUCGGUGCUGUACGAAAUGCAGAGAAACUUCUAAAUGGUGACUCCUGAGAAGAAGGAUGUGGUAUUUACUUUGAGCUGCGGGUGAAGCCAGGCAUCAGUUAGGUUGG
rnacentral:lncRNA from 1 species